rnacentral:rRNA from 1 species
CCCUAUAGUAGAGGAUAGCCCGGCGAAAGUCGGAUUAAUACUCAUGUUUUCCAAUGCAGACAUCUAAAAUGGAACAAAGGUUCACCGCUAUAGGAUGGGGAUGCGUCUGAUUAGAUAGUCGGCGGGGUAACGGCCCACCGAGUCGACGAUCAGUAGGGUUCUGAGAGGAAGGUCCCCCACAUUGGAACUGAGACACGGUCCAAACUCCUACGGGAGGCAGCAGUGAGGAAUAUUGGUCAAUGGGCGAGAGCCUGAACCAGCCAAGUAGCCGUGCAGGAUGACCGGCCCUAGUGGGUUAGUAAACUGUCUUUUAUACGAGGGAUAAAGUGACGUACGUGUACGUUUUGUAGGUACUGUAUGAAUAAGGACCGGCUAAUUCCGUGCCAGCAGCGGC